UUAACUUAUGAUGAUAAUUGUAUACCAAUUUUAUGAUUUUGAGUGAUUUUUAAUUACAUGCACUACCAACUGAAGUAAA